CCUUUAUAUUAGCAAAAUCUCUUUCUCUCUCUUAUAAGACAUUUUCUUCUUCUUCAUUGUUCUAGGACUUUAUUGGAAAACUCUCAAUCCACACAAGUUUCAUUCUCCCACUACCAUCAAGAUCACAUUUGUCUACAUAAAAGUUUUAAUCAUUAUCUUUUGAAUAUAUGUUGGAAUGUUAUCUUCAAGAAUCAAGAUGGGUUAAGCUUAUUUGAAACCCCAGGUUUGGAUUUAUGGAGGAACUCUCUCAAACUUGUGGUGAUGUGCCGGGAGAUGUCUGAGGAUAUCAUUUGAAGUAGACUCUUUGGAAGAUUAGAUGAAGAUCACACUUGCAUAGGCAUAUGUAAUUUUUUGUUUGUAAACUUUUGGGAACUUGUACAUGAUCCAUAAGAUACACUUAGAUAUGCACUCUGAAUGAUUAUUUGGUCAUGACACUAUUAUCUUGGUAACUUAAUUUUGGUGAUUGAUUUGACUA